rnacentral:rRNA from 1 species
GAUGAACGCUGGCGGCGUGCCUAAUACAUGCAAGUCGAGCGAACAGACGAGGAGCUUGCUCCUCUGACGUUAGCGGCGGACGGGUGAGUAACACGUGGAUAACCUACCUAUAAGACUGGGAUAACUUCGGGAAACCGGAGCUAAUACCGGAUAAUAUAUUGAACCGCAUGGUUCAAUAGUGAAAGACGGUUUUGCUGUCACUUAUAGAUGUAUCCGCGCCGCAUUAGCUAGUUGGUAAGGUAACGGCUUACCAAGGCGACGAUGCGUAGCCGACCUGAGAGGGUGAUCGGCCACACUGGAACUGAGACACGGUCCAGACUCCUACGGGAGGCAGCAGUAGGGAAUCUUCCGCAAUGGGCGAAAGCUUGACGGAGCAACGCCGCGUGAGUGAUGAAGGUCUUCGGAUCGUAAAACUCUGUUAUUAGGGAAGAACAAAUGUGUAAGUAACUAUGCACGUCUUGACGGUACCUAAUCAGAAAGCCACGGCUAACUACGUG